UCCCUGGUAGCCUAGUGUUUAAGGAUCCAGCAUUGUCACUGCUAUCACUCAGGUUCAAUCCCUGGCCUGGGAA
rnacentral:tRNA from 1 species